AACGAACGCUGGCGGCAUGCCUAACACAUGCAAGUCGAACGAAGCCUUCGGGCUUAGUGGCGCACGGGUGCGUAACGCGUGGGAAUCUGCCCUUGGGUUCGGAAUAACAGUUAGAAAUGACUGCUAAUACCGGAUGAUGUCUUCGGACCAAAGAUUUAUCGCCCAAGGAUGAGCCCGCGUAGGAUUAGGUAGUUGGUGGGGUAAUGGCCCACCAAGCCGACGAUCCUUAGCUGGUCCGAGAAGAUGAUCAGCCACACUGGGACUGAGACACGGCCCAGACUCCUACGGGAGGCAGCAGUAGGGAAUAUUGGACAAUGUGCGAAAGCCUGAUCCAGCAAUGCCGCGUGAGUGAUGAAGGCCUUAGGGUUGUAAAGCUCUUUUACCAGGGAUGAUAAUGACAGUACCUGGAGAAUAAGCUCCGGCUAACUCCGUGCCAGCCGCCGCAGUAAAAC
rnacentral:rRNA from 1 species